AACAUCAAGCAAGUCACUGACGAGUGGAUAGACAUCCAAGUGACUUCUUGUCUUGGUCACGCUCAGUACCCUUGUUCUCUAACAAGCACCUGCACUAUCACUUCAGUGUCCCUACACUGUAGACUCCAGCCUCGUCCAUCCAGAAGGAGAGUGAUCUGUGCACUGAUCGGAUCGAUCACCGUCCUCAUGAUGAUCCAUUGAUCAGGAGCAUUUAGAAAUUAAUCACCAAUGAUACAUGGCUCAAAUUCUCAACUCUUGA
rnacentral:lncRNA from 1 species